UGCUAGAGGAAGGCAGAAAGGCGCGGCCGCCAGCAAUGACACCAUGUGACAAGCACCACUUAGUGACACGCAGCUUUGGUUGAAAGCGGGCGCGCAGAAGGGGAGGAGACGGUGGAGGAAUGGCCUGACUUUCCCGGUUAAAACAUCUUAAGCCCCUGAAUGCAGAAGGACGACGCGCCUCCCAGUAGGAAAUGACUACGGCUCGAGACCCUGAACGCCAGAGCGUGUCGAUCCCUGGGAGCCAGACCUUGACACAAAGGACAUCAAACAGCAGUUGGGAAUAUCCGGAAGGGAUAUCUUUGACAUCGCCUUUUGCCACCUUUCCCUUUAUUUCCCAAGAUACUUACUGAGUGUCUCCAGUGUGCCAGGCAGCGGAUCUAUGCGCAUAGAGGAACCUUGGAAUGCCAUACAGCAGUACGUAUCCAGUGAUCAUCUCUUCUUGCUGAUUUAACAGGGGUAUCACACAUAUAUAUUUGCUGCUAUCUGCUGCUACAUACACUCAAAACGAGAAAUUUGGACUAAUUGUUUUGACUACAAAUAACUUCUAAACAUGAUGCAUUUCAAAAGUGGACUCGAAUUAACUGAGUUGCAAAACAUGACAGUGCCCGAGGAUGAUAACAUUAGCAAUGAUUCCAAUGAUUUCACCGAAGUAGAAAAUGGUCAAAUAAAUAGCAAGUUUAUUUCUGACCGUGAAAGCAGAAGAAGUCUCACAAACAGCCAUUUGGAAAAAAAGAAAUGUGAUGAAUAUAUCCCAGGAACGACCUCCUUGGGCAUGUCCGUCUUUAACCUGAGCAACGCCAUCAUGGGCAGUGGGAUUUUGGGACUCGCCUUUGCCUUGGCCAACACUGGAAUCCUUCUUUUUCUGAUACUUUUGACUUCAGUAACAUUGCUGUCCAUCUAUUCAAUAAACCUUCUAUUGAUCUGUUCCAAGGAAACAGGCUGCAUGGUUUAUGAAAAGCUAGGAGAACAAGUCUUUGGCACCACAGGGAAGCUGGUCAUCUUUGGAGCCACCUCUCUACAGAACACUGGAGCAAUGCUGAGCUACCUCUUCAUAGUAAAAAAUGAACUACCCUCUGCCAUAAAAUUUCUAAUGGGAAAGGAAGAGGCAUUUUCAGCCUGGUAUGUGGACGGCCGAGUUCUGGUGGUGAUGGUUACCUUUGGCAUAAUUCUCCCUCUGUGUCUCUUGAAGAAUUUAGGAUAUCUUGGGUAUACUAGUGGAUUUUCCUUGAGCUGUAUGGUCUUUUUCCUAAUAGUGGUUAUCUACAAGAAAUUUCAAAUUCCCUGUGGUAUUCGAGAGCUAAAUUCAACAGCAAAUGCUAAUUCAACAAAUGCUGACAUGUGUACGCCAAAAUAUGUUACUUUCAAUUCCAAGACCGUGUAUGCUUUACCAACCAUUGCAUUUGCAUUUGUCUGCCACCCAUCAGUCCUGCCAAUCUACAGUGAGCUUAAAGAUCGAUCACAGAAAAAAAUGCAGAUGGUUUCAAAUAUCUCCUUUUUCGCCAUGUUUGUUAUGUACUUCUUGACCGCCAUUUUUGGCUACUUGACAUUCUAUGACAAUGUGCAUUCAGACCUCCUUCACAAGUACCAGAGCAAAGAUGACAUUCUCAUCCUGACAGUGCGGCUAGCUGUCAUUGUUGCUGUCAUCCUUACCGUGCCGGUGUUAUUUUUCACAGUUCGUUCAUCUUUAUUUGAACUGGCUAAGAAAACAAAGUUUAAUUUAUGUCGUCAUGUCUUGGUUACCUUCAUACUCUUGGUUAUCAUCAACUUGCUGGUGAUCUUCAUACCCUCCAUGAAGGAUAUUUUUGGAGUCGUAGGAGUUACAUCUGCUAAUAUGCUUAUUUUCAUUCUUCCUUCAUCUCUUUAUUUAAAAAUCACAAACCAGGAUGGAGAUAAAGGCACUCAAAGAAUCUGGGUCUGGUGAAGUUCAAGGGCAUCUUGAAGGUGGUGCACUUGGAGACAGUGAGGGAAGCAGGGGUGAAGUGGCUGCUACAUGAGUCCCUUCUGGAGCACCAUUUUGCUUGGCCUCGAAGAAGGCUUCUCAGCUGCCCUCCCAGAUAGUGCGGCCCUCUUUUUGGGCCUGGGGGUACUGUUCUCCUUGGUCAGCAUCCCCUUGGUCAUCUAUGACUGGGCCUGCUCAUCCGGUAGUGACGAAGGCCACUGAGACCAGCCGGAAAAGAAAGCAUUCCGGUCUGCUGCUCAUCAAGUCUCCACACAUCAGCAAUUCCUCAUCACUUCUUUUGCAAGUUCAUAGAAACAACAGAAAAGUACAAGAUACUUAAAAUGGAACAGCACUUUGGUUGCAAAUUGGAGACCUGUUUCUGUAACAGUUCGUGCCCCUCCAACAUUUAGGAUCUCUUUAGGAAUGGUGGACCUUCCCCCCAUCCCCCAAAUUUCAUGCACUUAUAUUAUAAAGUACUUUUCAAGUCAGUUAUUUUCCAUUCUCCUAACUCUGUUUUUGUGGCUUUGUAGUCUCUUAGAACUUUGAAAACAUGAUCAUCAAUCGUGUUGACUUAUUACAUAUCCAGGUUCUGAGAUAAUUUUCCUACUGAUGUUCAGCUCACACUAUCUGGAUCUUUUUAGAAAAGAAUCUUGAAUUGUAUAUAUUUAUUUUGCUUUAUAGGAAAAAACCAGUUUUUCGUAAAUAAUUUGCCUAUUUUGGUUGACAUAGCACACCAAGUUAAUCAUAUGGGAGUCACAGGGCACGUGCCAUUGCCUAAUCUGAGCACGCCCAUUGUUUGAGGCAGCUCAGAUCAGGGCUGUCCAGCUGCCUAGCAGGUACAACAUACUGCUCCCAUGAAAGAUAUUCCCUUGUGAGUGUCCUCAGAUAGGAAGGGGUUGGAAUAAUACCUUCAUCAAUAUAUUAAACUACACAUUUAUCUAAUCUUGCAAAUGAAGUUUUUUGGUUUUUUUCUUUUAGAAUCUUAGGUCAGAGUUCCUCUAGGCUAAGUGAGCUUCUACUGGGGGAGACCCCUGGUACCUCCCAUAAAAAGAUUGUUCAAGAUGCCUAAGAAAAUACUCCUCUGAAGUAGAUAGCCUUUAACUCUACACCUGUAUCAUUGAAGUGAGGGAAAUGUUUUAUUGAAUUUAUAAGCCCAGCAGCAUUUAUUUAGUCAUGUCCACCAGCUUUUUGUCAUAGAGAAUAAUGUGUCCCUAACUAAGGACUAUCUAGGGUAAUUCCUAUUUUAUAUUGGGUACUUUAGGAGAGUCUUUAAUAGACUUGUUUUAUAUAAUAAAUCUAGGUUAUUACAAAUACAAGAUUUUUGUACCUCAAAUAAGCCUCAUUUCUCUUUCUUCUCCAUUAACUUUCCAUCCAGUCUUGAAAAUAAGCUUUCAGAGAGUCUUUGUGAAGAACCUUUGGUGAAAUCACUGUGUACCUUCCUUUUCCCCACAGGGAAGACGAGGGCCUCAGUGCCCACGCUGUCUCUCUUCUCAUUACUGUUCAUCUCAGCGUGGUUUGUGCAGCAUAGAGUUGCCCCAAACUCUUACUCAGUCCCUCUCCUAAAGGGAGUGAAAAGAAACUAUGAAGAGAUGAAAUGAGAGAGCUUGUGACAAGGUAGCUGGAACAGGAAUGGGGGACACAAAGGACACCCAGAUAGCAACCCCCAAAGCUGGGCCAUCCCAUCACUUGUGAUUGGCAUGUCCCUGUCUUAUGAAUGGUAAGAAAUGUGCAUGCUCUCUGAGCUGGUCUCUUGAAACAGGGCUUAUGCCUUAUCUAUAUGUAUUCUGGUUGCAUUUUCUAAACGUGUAAGUUCACCGAGCACAGAUUUCUUAUCUGGAGAUAAGUAGAAUCUAACCACAGAUGGUUGGCAGAGUUUCCAGGCACUUAGCUCUGGCUUCUGUUCCUUCCACCCUGACUCCCCAAAGGGCUUUGCUGUCACUGAGAGUCAGUCACAGGGAACUGUCCCCCCCCCGCCCCCCCCCUUUUUUUUUUUUUUUUUUUUACAAACUAAUGUCUGUAGAUAAGACAGGCAUCAAAGCACAUGUCACAAUCCUCUUGGAGGAGAAUAAAAGGUUAUUUCCUGCUUUACACCAUCAUAGCUUUUAAUGUAAUACUACAGAAUGACAUUCGUAUGGAGUCAGAGUUCAGGCAACUGAAUUUGAUCGCCUGACCCAGAUCCCAGUACCUUAACCUAGUAAGUCCACAGCCAUCUUGUCCUUUUCAGAAGUGGUUUCCAUGUUAACAUGAGCAAUGCUAGAAACUGAGCAAAGCAAGAUUUAGUUGGCUUUUGGAAGUUGUCUGGACACCAAGUAAUGAAAUAGUCAGAGAAUGGGAUGACCCUACAUUAAAAAAAUAAUAAUACAUAAUUUAGUUUGCAAGCUAUACUACUAUGCAUCUUUCUAUUUUCUUCAUUACUUAGUUCAUUUUAUAUUCACAAAGUGAAUUCAGAAAAUUAUUAAUUCUGGGAUGUGUAGUGAUAUUCUUUGGAUCUCUGGAUUUUGUGUGUCAGUAUAAGAAAUUUGUUAUUUAAGAUAUAUUUAUUUAGAGGAAGCACAUUAUUGUUGAUGUCUGUUAUUCACAUUUUUCAACCUUUCUUUGUAAGUUUAGUUGGUUGUUAACUGACUAUAAUAGACCCUACUGUAAUUUGUCAAAUAUUAACUGAUUAUAUGACUUGUAUGGAAUUCACUAUGAAUUGUACUGCUAUUCUUAUUCAAAAUAGUGCACUGGUAUCCAAAAAAUAACAUGUAUUGCAGAUGUUAGGUAGAACUUAAGCAGCACAAGUCAAGUGCUAUAGAUGUUUUUCUGCUAAAUUAGUAGACUAAAGAUACUGUAUCUUAGCCAGAGGAAGCAGCACGUUUUCCUUUGGUAGAUAGGAUCUCUAUACUAGUGAACAGUGUCAGUUUCAUACUGUGGAUUUAGAACUGUUCUCUGGUUAUGGUAACACAGAAUACUAUAAAUCCCUAAUUUACUUCAUGUCACUUAUUGGAAGUGGGGGUAGCAAAACAUGCACAGGAAGAAAAUCUACUCUUUUUAGGCAUAGGUAGCCACCAGUUAUAAGGAAUUCAUAUUGUGAAACUUUGUGGGUUGUUUGCAACCUGGAAUGUAUUUUCCUUUAGAAAUCAGGUUAGGCCCCCAGACCAGCUAGAAAUGAUUAUCAGACCCAUAGUUUAGCUGAAAUUGAAUAAUUUAAUAUGACUGCAAAAGGAACCAAGCCACCAAAUACGAUUGGUUCCUGGGGGUGUUUGUUCAGAGCUGUCAAGAACAUCUCUGCCUGUUGCUAGUGGAAUCUAGACUGUUCAUCUCAGCCACAUAUCACCUGCUGGACCGAAUAAUGGUUUCCAGCAAAGAUGAGGGAGAAAAAGUCCAGAAAGCCUGGGGGUAGGAGGAGGGGAAGCAGGAUGAGGGGCCUGGGGGGGGUGGUUGUAAGUGUUCCUCAGCUGGUGCCUUUUCUUUCAUCCGGGGUCUCAGGCUGGACUUCUUUUGCUCAUGGGAAUUCACCUCCUUUCCAGCCCACUGCAGAAAAGGACAUCGCUGCAUAGCUUUUCCUAUGUGCCAGGGUGUGGUGGAGGCCAGCACAUGACACUUGGAAUAGCCUUAGUAUCCUUGAUUGCAGUUUAAUUGCCCAGUAACCGCAGGAAGGGUAAAAAGUCUCCACUUUCCUUUUCACAUACACCCUGUUGAAAAAAAAAAGAAAGGUACACAUCAGUUAGGGGGUGGAGGUAGGCAAAGGGCUUGGUAAAAUUCCUCAGCAUCUUAGAGGACACCUCUGUAACUGCCAAGAGAGACUUCUUCCUGGAGCUGGACUCAAGCCUCCAAGCUAGUGGUUCUCAAAGUGCAUCCCCCAGACCAGCAGCAUCAGCAUCAUGCAUGAACCUGUUAGAAUGUACAUUCCGGGGCCCGGCUUCAGACAGUGAAAUUGGCCACUCUCAGAAAGGGGCAGCAAUCUGAACAAGGCCUCCAGGUGAUGCUAAUGCACAUCAAGUUUAAGAACCGCUCUGGACUAAUUAGUUCUCUCCAUGAGUCCUACUUCAGAAGAUAGUUUCCAGGCAAAAAAAAAAUGGGAGCCCAGACAGGGAGGGGAGGAAAGCACCUCAGUGACUCUGCAAUGGCAGGAAAAGCAAAGGAAUCUCUUGCUGCCACCCGCUGUGCCCCCUCCCUCCAGAAUUACCGGUGCAGGUGCACACUCCAAAACUACACUUAGGGUUACUUCAGGUAAGGCGCAGUGAGGAUGACAUUUUUAUAGCUGUGAAGAAAUCAAAGUAAGGCGCUUUUUUCCCUUUUUUUUCUUUUCUUUUUUCUUUUUUUAAGGGAAAUUAAAAGAAAAUCCCUUUUGUAAAUGUAACCUUGGAGGAAAUACUGAAUUUGUGUCAGAAGUCAGUUUGCCACAGAGUGUUUCGUGGGGCCAUCAAUCCUGUCCUCCUUUUAAAGUGAAUUCGCAGUCAGUGGUAGAGCACUUGCCUAGCAUGCACAAGGCCCUGGGUUCUAUCCACAAUGUGGCAAAAAUAAAUAAAGUGAAUUCUUUCCUGAUAGGUCUACACUGCUAAAGGAACUACAAACUGCUCUGAAAAGUAGCAAUUUGGCUCCAUUGCAGUGUAGCCCAGCAGUGGAGGGCACUAGUAAUUGGGGUGGGUAGAAGGUGGUGAUAAUACUGGAUAUUUGAUUUUGUGCCUUGGAGAAAAACCUUCCCUCCAUUUUUCAGUUUAAAUGACUUGGGGCUUAGAAAGGGCAGAGACUUUAAGACUAAUUCCCUCCCUCAAGCAAAUGUCCAGCAACUUUCAAAACAACAAUCCAGAUGACAUCAUUUAGCAGUACUCAAAUGGUUUUCCUUAAGGAUGGCAGAUCUCAAACUUUGUUAGCAACAGAACAUACUUCCUCUAAAAUAGAGUGAAUUUUUUAUAAUGAUAUAAGGCUUUCAGGUACAAAUUGGGGGUGGGGUGGCUAACAACUGAAAAAUAUCAGAAUCAAAAGAGAGUUCUUAGAAAACAAUGUAAGAUUUGCAAGGAUGCAGACAUUCUCCUUUGGGGUUUUCUCUGAGGAAGGCCCUGAAAACUGGGCCUAUUUGUAUACAGGCUGAAAUUUGUGUUUUUAAGGAAGAAUCUAUGCAGCUGAGGCUUAUUGUAGGAAUGCUUCAUUUGUAUAUAAAUAUAUUGUAAAUAAAUAGGCUGUAUAUUUUUGCAGUUGUUGAUCCACACUGAAAUAGAAGUCACUAGUAUCUGCAUAUAAAGAAUAAAUGUUUUCAUAGAUAUUAGUGGUUUUGUUUGAGAAUUAAAACAAUUUUACAUUCUAUCCCAGGUAACAUAAUUCUCUCAGUAUAAACUUGGAACCUAAAACCUUACUUAAUUGUUUAGAAAAAGAAAUGUCUGAGAAAUAGCUGUUUUGAUUUUUUUUUUUGUGCUGGUAUUAAAAUCACUUGUUUAAAUGAUAGUUCUCUGAGCUACAAGAGUAUUUAGACCCCAAUCACUGUCAUAUAAAAAUAGAUAAACCCUAAAUGACAGAUUGUUUCUUAAUAAAAUUCUUUUGCUGUUUAACAUUGAUGCCACUAUGCAGUAUUUACGAAAACAGGAGUUAGGAGAAUGUUUUUGUUUUUUGUUUUCCCAAAACUGAAUUGCUACAUUUCCCAAACUUUGGGAUCUUGGUGUGGGGAGUAUGGGUGGGGGGACUGAAUAUUAACUAUGAGCACAAAUUUGAAGGGAAAAAAAGUUAUUUUAUCAAGUUUUGAAAGUUGCAUGUUUGCUUUUUAUUUUAGUGUUGAGGCCGACAUAGUCUCUUAUGUAAGUGUUUUUCCCCAAAACACUUGAAUCCUAAUUGUUGGUUCGUAAUCCAUUCUCUGGAGUCCAGUGUAUUUUAGACUUCAUCUGAGUCUGGUAUGUGUAGCACACCACUGUUCUAUUAAUGUAAAAACCUUGUAAAUGAAUUUCAGAUGGGUCAUUUGGGUCACGAAUCACAAAACUUUGCUAUUCACAGUUAAGCAAAUAGAGAGUUUUGUUUUCUUUUUCAGGGUGUGGUGUAAAUAAAGAAAUGUAAGGAGUUCUGUUCUAUAACUGCUCUGUUAACAUAGUUUUUAAACAGUAAAAAUGUGAACUAAAAGUA